rnacentral:rRNA from 1 species
GACGAACGCUGGCGGCGUGCUUAACACAUGCAAGUCGAACGAGUGGCGAACGGGUGAGUAAUACGUGGGUAACCUGCCCUCUUUUUGGGAUAAGCCUUGGAAACGGGGUCUAAUACCGAAUCGAGGGGGAUGGGCUCGCGGUCUAUCAGCUGGUUGGUGGGGUGAUGGCCGAUCAAGGCGGUGACGGGUAGCCGGCUUGAGAGGGUGACCGGGCACGUUGGAAGUGACAGACUGCCCAGGGACGUACGAGUGGCAGCAGUGGGGCAUAGUGCGCAAGGGUCGAAAGCCUAAUGCAGGGACGCGAAGUAGGGGUUGGGGGCGUACAGGUUGUAAAGCUCUUACGAAAUCGAACCGGUAGGUAGAGAAGAAGCGCCGGCUAACUACGUGCCAGCAGCCGCGGUAAUAC